GUGGUGUACUUCCUGGUGAAGUGGUGCUCUCUGCCGUACGAGGACAGCACGUGGGAGCUGCAGGAGGACGUGGACGAGGCCAAGGUGGCCGAGUUCCGACGGGUGCAGGCGCGAAACCCCGAGCUCAAGAGACAGCCCCGCCCGCAGGCGGGGGCGUGGCAGAAGCUGGAGGCGUCGCGGGAGUACAAGAACCACAACCGGCUGCGCGAGUAUCAACUGGAGGGGGUCAACUGGCUGCUCUUCAACUGG